rnacentral:lncRNA from 1 species
GUAAAGAAGAAAGAAGCGUCGACAAGUAGACACAUGGAUUGAGUGUAUGUAAGCAAUCAAGUGUGGUUUGUGAAAGCUGGACUAGACAGCUAUAAUCAAGUGCGUCUUUUCGGUCUGCCGUGGUAUUCUCAAGAGCGACGAUGGAGCAGUAGUUUGCAACGAUACAUGAGUUUUGAGUGAAACACAAAAACAAUCAUCUUGAUUUAACGGUGUGUUUCCAGCGAUCUUCGACUGAGUGGCAUGAAACCAAGACCUAAGUAAUAACAAAGACCUAACAGAAAAACGAAAAAUGUUAUUCACAAAGGAACUACGCUGCCGAGAAAACGCUCUUACUCAAAGUGAAAACAAGUUAACUGCUUAAAGUGCGGGAAAAAAGGGGGCGCCGAGUCAUGAGGGUCUCAGUUUUGCAUCUGAUUGGACGAAUCACAGUGCGGAAUAAUGCUAAAUCAAACAAUUCAGUGGGCCUUGCUCAAGAUAGAACAUGAUUGUAUGAAAUUGUGUUGCAAUGAGUAAAACUUUCAACCAGGUUUAACAGCUUUUCAUGAUGAAAAUCUAUUAUAUUUGCGCAAAUCGAUUAUUAUUUGUAGCCACUUAAGUACUAAAGAAGCUAACUUCUAAACACAACCGGAAAAUAAGAGCAGACCGGCCUUUAGCACUCGACUGUUUUAGAGAAGGAAAGUAGAAGCUGUAACAUGGAACAUCUAUCAAAGAAAGGACAAAAGAAAAGAACUUGACCAGCGAAUAAUAACUCUGAAAAGAAAUUUUUCUGCGGAAGCUGUGUCUUCCUCAUAAAUUAUCCAUGAAAUAAAAAAUCAGCAUGUUCCAUGUAACACGACAAAGAACGGAUCGCAACACAAACCCAAGUUUGCACAUGCGCCCACAACUUGCUUUACUCAUUUGCAUAUCCUUCAGUCCUCGUGGUGGAAAGCCAGCGAAGAAACCAGGUUGAGGAAAUUGAGGUGGACGACGAAAACCAUUAGAUUAAUGGGAACAGUGCGGUGACCGUGGGUGGACAGCCGACCUUUUGCAUCUGACAAUUUACAACGAGGAGAACAAGGCACAAUGUGCACAAGACUGAGAUGUACUGUGAUUUGUCGGGUACAUUAAAGAGAAUCCAGGAAACUCAAGUAUCAUCAGAACAGUUUAUUUACUCCGAGGCGUCAAGACCAAGCAAAGGGAGCCAAGCCUUUCAUCUUUCCUUUCAUUUCGGUGGAUCUGGUUCAGAGAUCAAGUAAAAUGUCUAUAGAAUCGCCUUUCAAUAUGGUGAAGAAAACGAUUGCAUCAAAUACACGCUCGCCCGGACAAAGUGUCUGCAG